rnacentral:rRNA from 1 species
GGAAUAUUGGACAAUGGGCGAAAGCCUGAUCCAGCCAUGCCGCGUGUGUGAAGAAGGUCUUCGGAUUGUAAAGCACUUUAAGUUGGGAGGAAGGGCAUUAACCUAAUACGUUAGUGUCUUGACGUUACCGACAGAAUAAGCACCGGCUAACUCUGUGCCAGCAGCCGCGGUAAUACAGAGGGUGCAAGCGUUAAUCGGAAUUACUGGGCGUAAAGCGCGCGUAGGUGGUUUGUUAAGUUGAAUGUGAAAUCCCCGGGCUCAACCUGGGAACUGCAUCCAAAACUGGCAAGCUAGAGUAUGGUAGAGGGUAGUGGAAUUUCCUGUGUAGCGGUGAAAUGCGUAGAUAUAGGAAGGAACACCAGUGGCGAAGGCGACUACCUGGACUGAUACUGACACUGAGGUGCGAAAGCGUGGGGAGCAAACAGGAUUAGAUACCCGAG